rnacentral:rRNA from 1 species
CCUACGGGUGGCAGCAGUGAGGAAUAUUGGUCAAUGGACGCAAGCCUGAACCAGCCAAGUCGCGUGAGGGAUGACGGUCCUAUGGUUUGUAAACCUCUUUUGUAGGGGAGCAAGGCCCGCCACGUGUGGCGGGAAGGAGAGUACCCGCAGAAAAAGCAUCGGCUAACUCCGUGCCCGCACCCGCGGUAAUACGGAGGAUGCGAGCGUUAUCCGGAUUUAUUGGGUUUGAAGGGUGCGUAGGCGGUAUGUUAAGUCAAGGGUGAAAUCCCAGGGCUCAACGUGGGAACUGCCUUUGAAACUGGAAAACUGGAGUGUGUGAGAGGUAAGUGGAAUUCAAGGUGUAGGGGUGAAAGCCGUAGAUAUCAGGCGGAACAUCAGUGGCGAAGGCGACUAGCUGGCACACAACUGACGCUGAGGCGCGAAAGCGUGGGGAGCAAACAGGAUUAGAUACCCCAGUAGUC